AGGACGAACGCUGGCGGCGUGCUUAACACAUGCAAGUCGAGCGGUAAGGCCUUUCGGGGUACACGAGCGGCGAACGGGUGAGUAACACGUGGGUGAUCUGCCCUGCACUUCGGGAUAAGCCUGGGAAACUGGGUCUAAUACCGGAUAUGACCUCCUAUCGCAUGGUGGGUGGUGGAAAGAUUUAUCGGUGCAGGAUGGGCCCGCGGCCUAUCAGCUUGUUGGUGGGGUAAUGGCCUACCAAGGCGACGACGGGUAGCCGACCUGAGAGGGUGACCGGCCACACUGGGACUGAGACACGGCCCAGACUCCUACGGGAGCAGCAGUGGGAAUAUGCACAAGUGGGACGAAAGCCUGAUGCAGCGACGCCGCGUGGAGGAUGACGGUCUUCGGGUUAGUAAACCGUCUUCG
rnacentral:rRNA from 1 species